rnacentral:rRNA from 1 species
UACGUAGGGGGCGAGCGUUGUCCGGAUUCAUUGGGCGUAAAGAGCUCGUAGGCGGCUUGGCAAGUCAAGUGUGAAAUCUCCAGGCUCAACCUGGAGUCGCCACUCGAUACUGCCAUGGCUAGAGUCCGGUAGGGGACCAUGGAAUUCCUGGUGUAGCGGUGAAAUGCGCAGAUAUCAGGAGGAACACCAGUGGCGAAGGCGGUGGUCUGGGCCGGUACUGACGCUGAGGCACGAAAGCGUGGGGAGCAAACAGG